UUCACCGCGACCUUGCAGCGAGAAAUGUCUUUAUUGAUUCAAACAAGGUGGCAAAAGUUGGAGACUUUGGAUUAGCAAGGAACAUCUCAGACGAUGGAUUAUACAUUAAAACUUCAUGUAUUAAAGUUCCAUGGAGAUGGUCGUCUUUGGAAUCUCUUCGAGAUCGAGUUUAUACAUCCAAGAGCGAUGUUUGGUCGUUCGGCAUACUACUUUGGGAAAUAGCAAUAUAUGGUGGGU